CCUACGGGAGGCAGCAGUGGGGAAUAUUGCACAAUGGGGGAAACCCUGAUGCAGCGACGCCGCGUGAGUGAAGAAGUAUCUCGGUAUGUAAAGCUCUAUCAGCAGGGAAGAAAAUGACGGUACCUGAGUAAGAAGCUCCGGCUAACUACGUGCCAGCAGCCGCGGUAAUACGUAGGGGGCAAGCGUUAUCCGGAUUUACUGGGUGUAAAGGGAGCGUAGACGGCAGCACAAGUCUGGAGUGAAAUGCCGGGGCUUAACCCCGGAACUGCAUUGGAAACUGUGCAGCUAGAGUGCAGGAGAGGUAGGUGGAAUUCCUGGUGUAGCGGUGAAAUGCGUAGAUAUUAGGAGGAACACCAGUGGCGAAGGCGGCUUACUGGACUGUAACUGACGUUGAGGCUCGAAAGCGUGGGGAGCAAACAGGAUUAGAUACCCUUGUAGUC
rnacentral:rRNA from 1 species